rnacentral:rRNA from 1 species
UGGGGAAUAUUGCACAAUGGGCGCAAGCCUGAUGCAGCGACGCCGCGUGCGGGAUGGAGGCCUUCGGGUUGUAAACCGCUUUGUUCAAGGGCAAGGCAGGCUUUCGGGCC